rnacentral:tRNA from 1 species
GCCGAAGUGGUGGAACUGGCAGACACGCAUGCCUUAGGAGCAUGUGGGAGGAUAUCCCGUGGAGGUUCGAGUCCUCUCUUCGGCA